rnacentral:rRNA from 1 species
CACGUAGGGGGCGAGCGUUGUCCGGAAUUACUGGGCGUAAAGGGCGCGCAGGCUGUUAUGCGAGUCUGCUGUGAAAUGUACCGGCUCAACCGGUGCCUUGCGGCGGAUACUGCAUAGCUGGAGUACUGGAGAGGGAAGUGGAAUUCCCGGUGUAGCGGUGAAAUGCGCAGAUAUCAGGAGGAACACCGAUGGCGAAGGCAGGUCUCUGGGCCACUACUGACGCUGAGAAGCGAAAGCAUGGGGAGCGAACA